CGCAACAACGUCAUGCGGCAGGGAUUCAUGACUCACGUCGGCGCGGAAGUGACCGAUCUCACGCGCGGCGGCUGUGUGCUAUCGGUGGAUCGCCGGCCGGAGUUGUUGCAGCAGAACGGGUUCUUCCANNNNNNNNNCACCGCAUUCCUGAUCGACAACGCAACCACGAUUGCGGCUGCGACAGUGAAGGGGCAGGCGGCGCUGACCGCCGAGUACAAGCUGAACCUGCUCGCACCGGCGUCGGGGGAU
rnacentral:misc_RNA from 1 species